rnacentral:rRNA from 1 species
UACGAAGGGGGCUAGCGUUGUUCGGAAUUACUGGGCGUAAAGGGCGCGCAGGCGGCCGCUCAAGUCAGGUGUGAAAGCCCCGGGCUCAACCUGGGAACUGCACUUGAUACUGAGUGGCUAGAGUUCGGGAGAGGAGAGUGGAAUUCCCAGUGUAGAGGUGAAAUUCGUAGAUAUCAGGAGGAACGACCGAUGGCGAAGGCAGGUCUCUGGGCAUUAACUGACGCUGAGGAGCGAAAGCGAUGGGGAG